rnacentral:lncRNA from 1 species
AAAUAAUCAAAGUGUUAAAUUUUUAACAAAAACCCAACAAAGAAAUUCUCUGAAAGUCACAACAUUCAAUAACAUUAGAGUACAAAGCACCAGAAAACAGGCAGUUUGAGCUCAAAAGCCCAAUUGAAUAAAAUCAAAGCAUCUGUUUUUUGGCAAAACCCAGAAGACAACUCACUCCAAAUUCAGGGAACAACUGUUAUAAAGGAGAGAGAAGGAACAAGAAAAAGUUAAAAACAGAAGCACAUGUGGGAGUGAGAAGGUGAGAGUGCGUGGCUAAUCUUCUAUUUAUACACACACAGAAAGUAGAGAGAGAGAGAGAAAGAGAGAGGCUAGAGUCCAAGAUUGCAAUCUAUAUCAAAAACCAAAACCAUCCCGUGAAAGCUAAGAAAUGGUCAUUAUUUGGGUAAAUUUAAUUUGGAAUAUUUUCAGAGGAAUAAUUCUACAGAAUUUAUAUAUAUAUAUAUAUAUAUAUAUAUAUAUAUAUAUAUAUAUAUUAUAUAUAUAUAUUUACUAUAUCUAUCUAUAUAUACACAGUUACACAGAGAUAUAGAGAGAGGGAAGUGAGGUGAAGAUCACGGAUACGGUGUCGUGUUUUGAGGCGGGUUUGACCGAGCGAAGGUUGGGGGUUUGAUGGCCAUCGGAAAUGUCCCCGUGGAGUAGAAGAAAGCAGCACCAACAGAUGGCCUUCUUUUCG